UCUGCAAUUUUCUCUUCAAGAUUUGCUCAGUAAUUGGUAAAUAAUUGAACGUCCGAUUUUCUCAUUCUAAUUGAUGCUAUCUUAUAUAUUUUUAAAGUAAUUUAAUUAAUUUUACAACCAACUUAACUUCUUCUAAGCUUCGACCCAUAGAUUCUAAUUAAUUGAAGUCGUUAACGUGUGCAUUAUACGCGCUAUGCAAUAAUUUAUUAAUCACAACGCUAGAUGGCAGCACCUUUUUUCUCAACACUUAUUGCAUAACGGAGUUAAGCAAUAGUUGCAUAGUGUAGAGUUAUCCCUGGUAUUUCAUGUUACGUGGAAUAGGAGAGAGUUUGUUACGUGUUCAGGUAUGUGUCGGGGGGAGAAAAUAUUGGUGUUCUUUCUAUCUCCCGCUACCAUUUCCGCUCUGUUAAAUUUACAGAUGGCAAACACAGAAUUCUUAUUCGGUUUUCCAUUAAGCAUACUUAAGAGGAAAUAAGAAUAAAACGGUUUAUUUCAAUGAAUAAAUAAUACCACUUACCGCAUCAUAACGACUUACAUUAGUGUUUAUGUGUGUUUGUGUGAUCGGAAUAUUUGUAGUAGAAUACCUAUUGACUGUUGGAUCUUACGAGGGAGAAGGAACGUUCGAAGCAAGAAGGGGGUGAGAAGCAUCGCUUAAUGGCUCAGACUUCCGCUACCCUGCGGCUAGGCUGCAGACGGCAUGUCGCUUAUGACGUCACAAGCCACGUGUGCUCAGCCUACAGGUUGUCUGUAGCGAUGUGACAGGUGCUAGAUGCAGUGCGAGGCAGACGGACGCAAAUGUGCACCCUCUUUGAGUCGACUAACCGCCAUCCCCUCGAUACAGUAACUUAAUACGAUCCGUGUUUCCAAGGAGAAAUGACUUUUUUUUGUUAUUUUCUUUCUUCUUCGCUAUCUUGGUAUUCAAGCUCCACCUUCCAUCAUCGCGUACGGCGUAGUCUGCCCCUGAUAUCCGUCUUUCCAGCGCGACAGCAGUGCCGUAAUAGUACAGCUUCAUCUACAGGUGCAAUUGAAAACCGUCCACCAAUCUUCGUAGACGUUAGUGUGAGAGUAAACGUCGUAGGUACGACUCAGUGACGUCAUAAAGAUAGCCGAAUCUUCAUCGUAAUUGUCAUCUGAUCUUCCUGUGUCAAUCUAUAACCUAACAUAUGGCACGACAGAAAACGUCUAUGGAGUGAUGAGGAUCGUCACGGUUCAAGAUUUUUUUAACAAGGAAGGAGAGUUGUCCAGGUUUCACGAUGUACGAGCACAUUUUUGAAGAACGUUGUUCGUUGUCGCUGAAACCUGAACGAACCUCCGAUCCCUACGUACUGUACGUCACGAGAGAGGAAGAGGAUGAGGAAACAUCAACACAACAACAACAACAAAUCACAACAAAAAAUAACCCAACUAAAAAAGCGUCGAAGCUGUUAUUACAAGACACAAUUACUAGCAAGUCGAAGCAAUUAAUCCCUAAUGAUUUUGAAAGCUGUUAGUUUAUUCAACAGGGACAUCUAACCUUUCGAUUUCCCAAAUGACUUAAAGGUUUAUCCUUUAUCCAUCAAUAUUAAGCAAAUAUAGAAAAUUCCCUCGACACCAUCUCUAAACAGCUUCCUAUUUGUUGAGUAAUUGAUUAAAAUAAUUCAUCAUUAUCAUCAUCAUCAUUCUUCUUCUUCUUCGUCAAAAAAAUUUAAGCAAACAGCGGACUCGUUUACGAAUUUUAAUGAAGUAAAUAUUCGAUUUAUGUGACACGAAUCUGUGGGAUAUUUAUUACGACGUUCUUACUCCACCCAAGAAAGGAUCAAGUAAAAAAAUACGAAUGAAAGGGAAAUUGGAAUUUCGUUACCAAGAAAAGUGUUAGAUCUCAAGACGUGAGGUAUGAUCAAAUCAGACAGGAAACGGAAGUGAGGUCGCCGAUUACAGCACCCAAGUGGCCAGGUGCUCAGUCACGGUGCUCUAAUUGCACUUGACAUCUACAUAAAUCUCUCUUUCCUUUAACCUUAGUGAUAUCUAACGAAUGCAAGUGAACCGUACCACUCCAUUUUCCGGACCACAAAGAGAUAGAAAUGAUAUCUUUAUCACUUAAAUUUCCUUUCCUGAAUUAAUCUGGUUAAGUUCAUUUAGAGUGCUGGUCAGAUAAACAUGUGAAAUUUAAAUUUUGCAUAUUUACUGAUGGCUAUCUUUCAAUUGAAAACGAAUUUAAGAUAGAAUUUCUCUCUCUCUCUCUCUCUUUUUUUAAUGAAA
rnacentral:lncRNA from 1 species